GAUGAACGCUGGCGGCGUGCCUAAUACAUGCAAGUCGAGCGAACGGACGAGAAGCUUGCUUCUCUGAUGUUAGCGGCGGACGGGUGAGUAACACGUGGAUAACCUACCUAUAAGACUGGGAUAACUUCGGGAAACCGGAGCUAAUACCGGAUAAUAUUUUGAACCGCAUGGUUCAAAAGUGAAAGACGGUCUUGCUGUCACUUAUAGAUGGAUCCGCGCUGCAUUAGCUAGUUGGUAAGGUAACGGCUUACCAAGGCAACGAUGCAUAGCCGACCUGAGAGGGUGAUAGGCCACACUGGAACUGGAACGCGGUCCAGACUCCUACGGGAGGCAGCAGUAGGGAAUCUUCCGCAAUGGGCGAAAGCCUUACGGAGCAACGCCACGUGAGUGAUGAAGGUCUUCGGAUCGUAAAACUCUGUUAUUAGGGAAGAACAUAUGUGUAAGUAACUGUGCACAUCUUGACGGUACCUAAUCAGAAAGCCACGGCUAACUACGUG
rnacentral:rRNA from 1 species